AUACGUAGGUGACAAGCGUUAUCCGGAUUUACUGGGCGUAAAGGGCGUGUAGGCGGUCUUGCAAGUCAGAAGUGAAAUUCCUGAGCUCAACUCGGGCGCUGCUUCUGAAACUGCAGGACUUGAGUGCUGGAGGGGAUAGCGGAAUUCCUAGUGGAGCGGUAAAAUGCGCAGAUAUUAGGAAGAACACCGGUGGCGAAGGCGGCUAGCUGGACAGUAACUGACGCUGAGGCGCGAAAGCGUGGGGAGCAAACAGGAUUAGAUACCCUGGUAGUCCACGCCGUGAACGAUGAAUACUAGGUGUAGGGGGUAUCGACUCCCUCUGUGCCGCAGUUAACACAAUAAGUAUUCCGCCUGGGGAGUACGGCCGCAAGGUUGAAACUCAAAUGAAUUGACGGGG
rnacentral:rRNA from 1 species